AGGACGAACGCUAGCGACGUGCCUAAGAAAUGCAAGUCGAACGGAGGGAGCAAUCCCUUAGUGGCGAACGGUCGCGUAACACGUGGGCAACCUGCCUCGAAGCGGGGGACAACAAGGGGAAACUCUUGCUAAUACCGCAUGUGAAUUGCUCCGGCAUCGGAGAGGAUUCAAAGCCGCAAGGCACUUCGAGAUCGGGCCCGCGGCCUAUCAGCUAGUUGGUGGGUAACGGCCUACCGAAGGCGACGACGGGU
rnacentral:rRNA from 1 species